GGUUAGGGUUUCAAAGUAGGGUUUGAAAUUAUAGUUGGGAGUUAAAAUCAGGGUUGUUAAUUCAGGUUAAGUUAUAGAGUUAGGGAUUUAAUGCAAAAUUAGGGUUUUAACUGUAGUUGUAAAUUGUGAGAUUAUUGUUGAUCUUGAUAUAUUAAAAUCAAAUUUUUGAGAUAUUGGGUCAUUACUUGUCACUCAAAAUAUGCGUCACACACUCCGACAGACGGCCCAGCAAAACGCCGUACAUUUAUUGAGACUCUCCAACAAAGGUGCAGCCAAAGAUGGAGAAAUCUUUGGCUCCACAUAUGCAUGUGAGCGGCUCUUCCGCACCAUGAACGAUGCUCAAAACAAACACCGCUCAUGCCUCACAGACAGCAGUUUAUCAUCUUGCGUAAAGACGAAGGCGGCUUCCUACCGCCCUGAUUUGCAGACCGUUCAGAAACCAAAGUCCCAUUUACCAGGUAAAAUAAAUAUUCUUUUUUUUCUGGGGAAAUAUCUCGUUUCCUGCACACAUCUUUUCAGCUGCUUUUUUUUAAUACUGCAAGGUGCCAAGCAUUCUGCAAGUGUGUUUGCCUGCAGCUCUCCUGCCAACGCGGACACAAGCAGUGGAAAAGCUCCCACAUGAUCGGAACAUGAUGUCAGAUGGGUGUGUGUCACUUUGCCAUGGAGAAACACACAAAGGAGCGUGUUUGUUUGUCUGCCCUGCGUAUUGAUUUGCCAUUUUGUUGCGUGGGGUAGAAAAUCCAUGGCUCUCCUUUUAAAUAACCAUCACAAGAGGACAAGCGAGAUCUAUCACGGACAAAGCGUAUCGGAUGGAAACACCCGGGACGCAGGCGUGACACUUCAUUCGGUCUGGACUGCCGUCGACCUUAUAAAGAGGAAGCAGGGCAUGAUUUGACUUGCGAUUUCACAAUUCGGAGGGGUCUUUAAUUCAACUGAGCAGCAGUGUUUGUCGGAGCUUUGCCUCGAUUUGGUCGACUAAAUCUUAAAUUUCCUCUCACAAACCUACAUCGUCUGACUUGGAGUACCACAGGGAUCAUUGCUCGCGCCACUUUUGUUUACGACUCAUCGCAAGCAUCUUCCAAAGUGCAGAAAUUCCUUGAAAAUUACAUUCUAUGUAAUUUGAAAGGAAUUGAGACAAAGAAUUGCAGGUCAUCCUCCCCUAUUCUUUCUCAUUAUACGCCUGAAAUUAUUCCAAUCAUGGCUAAAAUAGUUUUUGUUUGGUUGUGCAAUGGAAUCUAGAUUUUCACUGGAGAGGAUGCAUUGCAAUAGCAAAAGAAUGUCAGACUCUUAUGGUAAGAGAUAAAAUAAAUAGAACAAAAUAAUAGAGUAAUAAAACACAAUGAAACGCUUGCUCCUUCAAUUGAAACAAAAAUUCCAUGUCCCCAAAUUAUUCACACUUUUUCUGUUGCUAGUUAGCAAGAUUACUACAAAACCAAAUGUUCUUUGAAAAACAAACAAAACAAAACAUAAAACAUAAUAGUCGAAGCAAAAAUGGCUGAAUAUUUUUUCCUUUUUGUUGUUUUGAAGGAAGGAAGGCAAGCAGACAGACGGAAGGAAAGCUCAAUAGUGCAAAAACAAUUCUGCACGGCCUUAUGUCAGAUGUGACAAAUGUUACAAAGAGGUCACACUUGUCAUUAGAAGUAGCACGAAGAGCUCCUCCACUCCCUUUGACGGGGAUUAAGUUUGAAAUAAAUCUCAUUAAAGAACAAUAUUCUGUGCUUAAGAAGAAUACAUUGGUUGUUGUUGUUGUUGAACAACGGUUUUCUCCACACGGCUUGCUCCACACGGCUAACAGGUUAGCUAUGCUACCUUCGUUCUGACAGCCAGUGCUACAUUAAGCAAUUGGAUCAUAAACGUAAUUCUUGUCCCUGCGCAUCUACGAAUGAAUAAUGUUAGUGGUGGUGGGUGGGCAAAGUGAUAAAAUGGUAGAAUGCAAUGCUUUUUUUUUUCCGAACCGCCCAUAAUAAGGGACCGGAGCCAACUGGCUGCAAACGACAUGAAAACUUUGAAGCCAAUCCAUGUUAGCAUGUGUGAAGAAAGCGAUUCAUGCGUUUGACGACUUUGUGGUUUGAACCAGCCAUAGCGAAAAACAGUCAACUGCAAUUCUGGAGAUUUCUGUGCCAACAGAAACUGUGAAAUAUAGCAUGUUUCUUUCAAAUAUAUGGUUCCCCCCUUGUAAAGUAUUUCCAAGUCGCCUAGCUUAAGCUGGCAUGCAUUACAAUGAAAACGUCAUGAAAUAUGCCUGUUUUACGCCAAACAAUAGUCAGACAAAGACAUAAACAAAACCAUAACAAUGCUUUGGAAUUCUCUUCAA